AGGUCAGUGCGUCAAUAUAUGUGGCGUUAUUUGAGUUGAAAAUUGGCGAUAAUAAUAGCGAUGCCAUAUGCUGUCAAAACUUCUUUUGUUUUUGAUGGCUUUGGAACAAGUCGCGACAUU
rnacentral:snoRNA from 1 species